rnacentral:rRNA from 1 species
UACGUAGGGGGGCAAGCGUUGUCCGGAAUCAUUGGGCGUAAAGAGCGCGUAGGCGGCCCUGUAAGUCCGCUGUGAAAGUCAAGGGCUCAACCCUUGAAUGCCGGUGGAUACUGCAGGGCUAGAGUCCGGAAGAGGCGAGUGGAAUGGUCGGUGUAGCGGUGAAAUGCGUAGAUAUCGAUCGGAACACCCAUGGCGAAGGCAGCUCGCUGGCCUGUAACUGACGCUGAGACGCGAAAGCGUGGGGAGUAAACAGG